UAGUCCUAUGUGGUGUUUAGUACUCUUUAGAGUUAGGGUCUGAUUUUAAUUAUGAUUUUAAUAUUUUAUUUAGACCCGUCGACUGUUCGUACUUCAGAGGCGAACCAGAGUUAGGUGCUUGUCAAGUUUCACGAGGAAUAGCAAGCAGUUUAUGAUUUGAGCUUUGGUCGAUCUCCGUUUCUUCAUUCUCGGAGGUUCUUUAUUUAUUUCAGAAAUAAAGUGUCGAACUAUUUUAAACUCUUAGACCGCAGUAGUAGUUUCAUAUUAUUCAUGUCUUAGUCUUACGUUUAUAUUUUAGACUAUUGUUGUUGGAUUGGUCCAACUAUUACUUAUCGCUUGUGGCAUGAUUACAGUGUUAUGGCAUUUAUAUUAUAUUGCCAUGUUGGAGUUUAUUUGA